GGAGAAGCCCUCUUUAUCCAGAACUCACUUCUUGGCUGUGAUCUCCCCCUCCUUUUCCUGUUCUUCCUCCUUCUCUUUUCUCCUCCACUUCUACUUCUUCUCCUCUUCUUCCUCCUCCUUCUUCUUUUUGGCUUUUCUAGAAAGAGUCUCACUAUGUAGCCCUGGCUAUCCUGGACAGCCUGAACUCACUCUGUAGACCAGGCCGGACUCAGACUCACAGAGAUCCACCUGCCUCUGCCUCUUGAGUGCUGGGAUUAAAGAAGUGCAUCACUCCCACUCCGUUGAUAGGCAGAAGCCAGCAGAGUUCUGUGUGUUUAAGAUCGGUCUAGUCUACACAGUGAGUUCCUGAACAACUAGAACUACAUAAGAUAGACCCUGUCUUAAAAACAAAGCCCAAAACAUCUCAAAGAGAGAGGUCCAGCAGUGAGCUGGUGAACGGCCUGCUAGGUGAACCGGAGGGGUUUCCCUCUGGUUUGUGCAGGUCCUGGCUUAAGUGUGUGCUAUUAAGUUGACUACCUUAGGAUCCGAACAGAUGAAUGAGUUCAGCAUUGACUAACUGAGUGAUGCUCUGUAGUUUCUAUCUCCUCAGUGGCGAACACAGACAUUUCUUCCAAUAGUUUGCUGUUUAAAAAGGGAGACUGGAGAUGUGUGUCAGGGGAAGGUGGCUCGGUAUGUGAAGACAUUUGUCCCCAAGCCUGACGAAUUCUAGUGCUGUCCCCGGGACUCACAUGGUUGAAGGAAAAGACCAACUCCCCUAAGUUGACCUGUGUCCCAGAAGUUGACCUCUGACCUUCGUGCACCAUGGCACAUGUGCACACUUACACAAAACACAUACAAAUCAAUGUAAUCCCAGCACUUGGGACCCAGAUGAAGGUAGAUCUGUCAGUUCAAGGCCAGCCUGGUCUACAUAGUGAAUUCUAUGCCAGCCAGGGCUACAGAGUAAGAUCUUGACUCAAAACAACAGAAAAUAAGUAAAUAAGGAGAGAGCUGAGCUGCCUGCAGCCUUCUUUUAGCUGAGGACCAUAUCUGAGGUUAGCAGCCAUGCAGGAGCCGCCCCCACUUAGCCUCUUCCACACCCUGCCCUCCUGCCUCCAACACCAGUGGGCCCAGCUGCUCUUCCCCAACUCCCAGAAACUCAAAGCACUUCUCAGAUUUUUAAAAAAUAACGCAAAGGCACUUUCUCUCUCUCUCUCUCUCUCUCUCUGGUAUCAAUGAUGUGCCUAACCAUUGCCAAACUCCUUAGACUCCUCCAACCCUUUGCCUUACGGUGGCUUUUGACAUCACUUCCUGUUUGACCAUGUCUGUGAUCCUGCACAGCAGGAUAUAUUUGUAUAUAUUGCACUUUGGAACCUAGAAGGAUGCCUUACGUAGUAUUGUUUUAUUUGUUAUUCUUCUGCCUAACCACCUUUUUGUUUUUAUAACUGCUGGGGAGGCCCCUGGACUCUUGCACUGUAGCUAGGUCCCCGGCUGGCUGCUGCGCACUUGACUUUAUUGUAAACCCCUGGGCUCUGAGUAAGUCGUUUGAAUAUAGCCAUCAUGAUUGCAUCUUUCUAUUCUUAUCCUAAGAGAAAAGAAUAUUCUUAUCUGUCGCCUUCCAGUUGUGCCCUCGUAUCUGCCUCUCUAAUAAAUAUUAUUAUUUUUCUCAGUGCUGUGUAUUUUAAGUGAUUUUUCUCUUUUUUGAGAACAUUAUUCUCUGUAAUAACACUUUCAUCUCUAGUACUGAGGACUUUUCAAGCCAAAUACUUUUCCCCCUUGCAAAUAAUUGUGCCUCUCUUUCUUACCCCUCCUGUCCUGAGGGCUUGGAGCAUCUGCUUUUCUUGCAUCUUGUCUCCCUCUGGCGAUGGAGAGCUUUCGCAUUUAGUGAGGCCCUGGGCAGCCUUAGAUUCCCCUCUCAUCAAAGGUUCACCUUACUACAGAGACCUGUGGUCACAACGGGAGAGAGAAUUUGCCCUUUAACUUCCUCACACCAUCCUGAACC
rnacentral:lncRNA from 1 species